rnacentral:rRNA from 1 species
UACGUAGGGGGCAAGCGUUGUCCGGAAUCAUUGGGCGUAAAGCGCGCGUAGGCGGCCCGGUAAGUCCGCUGUGAAAGUCCAGGCUCAACCCUGGGAUGCCGGUGGAUACUGUCGGGCUCGAGUCCGGAAGAGGAGUGUGGAAUUCCUGGUGUAGCGGUGAAAUGCGCAGAUAUCAGGAGGAACACCAAUGGCGAAGGCAGCACUCUGGGACGUGACUGACGCUGAGACGCGAAAAGCGUGGGGAGCAAACAGG